rnacentral:rRNA from 1 species
UACGUAGGGGGCAAGCGUUGUCCGGAUUUAUUGGGCGGAAAGAGCGUGUAGGCGGCCAUGCAGGUCCGUUGUGAAAACUCGAGGCUCAACCUCGAGACGCCGAUGGAAACCGCAUGGCUAGAGUCCGGAAGAGGAGAGUGGAAUUCCUGGUGUAGCGGUGAAAUGCGCAGAUAUCAGGAAGAACACCCGUGGCUAAGGCGGCUCUCUAGUACGGUACUGACGCUGAGACGCGAAAGCGUGGGGAGCGAACAGG